AUGAAGUCAUCACUCACCCCAUUUCUUUCUGUUUCCUGUUUUUUAUACCCCUUAUUUUCUCCCACCCUGUUGUAUAUGAGAGAAGUGUGUUUCCUUUGCACUCCUGAGGGGCCUGGUGAAAGCCUCAUACUAUGUCUGCUGGGCAGGACACUGGAGCAAGAGAGAUCAGAGAUGUCUCUGCAUCCUGGUAUCAGACUCAAACCAGAACUCCCAAACCAGUUCUUGACUCAGUGGGUACUGUGGAUCCCUGUCUACAUCCCAUACUGUCACAAACAGUGGGGGCAAAGGGGUGGAGAAGGAGGUGAAGGUAGAAGUGGCUGAUAACCUCAAAGAAGGACAUUUCCAUUGGGGCUUUGAAAGAUAA
rnacentral:lncRNA from 13 species